UACGUAGGGGCUAGCGUUGUCCGGAUUUAUUGGGCGUAAAGAGCGUGUAGGCGGCCAGGUAGGUCUGGUGUGAAAACUCGAGGCUUAACCUCGAGAUGUCAUCGGAAACCAUCUGGCUAGAGUCCGGAAGAGGAGAGUGGAAUUCCUGGUGUAGCGGUGAAAUGCGCAGAUAUCAGGAAGAACACCAAUGGCGAAGGCAGCUCUCUGGGACGGUACUGACGCUGAGACGCGAAAGCGUGGGGAGCGAACAGG
rnacentral:rRNA from 1 species